GGGUCAGUAGGUUGGUCGUGCCACCGGUACGUACUGGUCUCACUGAUUCCUCCUUCCUGAAGAACCGUAAUGCCAUUAAUUUGGUGUUGCGGGGAAACAGGACUGUUACUUUGAAAAAAUUAGAGUGUUUAAAGCAAGCUAACGCUUGAAUACAUUAGCAUGGAAUAAUGAAAUAGGACGAUCGAUCCUAUUUUGUUGGUUUCUAGGAUUGACGUAAUGAUUAAUAGGGAGGG
rnacentral:rRNA from 1 species